AUUGAACGCUGGCGGCAUGCCUUACACAUGCAAGUCGAACGGCAGCACGGGGCAACCUGGUGGCGAGUGGCGAACGGGUGAGUAAUGCAUCGGAACGUACCUUUCAGUGGGGGAUAACGUAGCGAAAGUUACGCUAAUACCGCAUAUUCUGUGAGCAGGAAAGCAGGGGAGCGCAAGACCUUGCGCUGAUUGAGCGGCCGAUGUCAGAUUAGCUAGUUGGUGAGGUAAAGGCUCACCAAGGCGACGAUCUGUAGCGGGUCUGAGAGGAUGAUCCGACACACUGGAACUGAGACACGGUCCAGACUCCUACGGGAGGCAGCAGUGGGGAAUUUUGGACAAUGGGGGCAACCCUGAUCCAGCCAUGCCGCGUGAGUGAAGAAGGCCUUCGGGUUGUAAAGCUCUUUCGGCCGGGAAGAAAUCGCACGGGCUAAUACCCUGUGUGGAUGACGGUACCGGAAUAAGAAGCACCGGCUAACUACGUGCCAGCAGCCGCGGUAAGAC
rnacentral:rRNA from 1 species